rnacentral:rRNA from 1 species
UACGUAGGGUGCAGGCGUUAUCCGGAAUUAUUGGGCGUAAAGCGUCCGCAGGUGGCACUUCAAGUCUGUCGUCAAAGACUGGGGCUUAACCCUGGAAAGGCGGUGGAAACUGAAGCGCUAGAGUGCGGUAGGGGUAGAGGGAAUUCCCGGUGUAGCGGUGAAAUGCGUAGAGAUCGGGAAGAACAUCGGUGGCGAAAGCGCUCUACUGGACCGCAACUGACACUCAGGGACGAAAGCUAGGGGAGCGAAUGGG